GGAAAAAGAAAAGAAAAAGAAAAAGGAAAAGGAAAAGGGACAUCGUUCUUCUCGCCUUCUCUCCUUUCACCGCUUCUU
rnacentral:ribozyme from 12 species